AAACUCUUUAAUCCAUUCCAAAUUCCCUUACUAAAUACAGCAAUUCUUUUAACUUCAGGAGUAACUGUUACAUGAGCACAUCAUAGCUUAAUAGAAGGAAAUCAUUCACAAGCUACACAAGGAUUAUUUUUUACAGUACUAUUAGGUAUUUAUUUUACUAUUUUACAAGCAUAUGAAUAUAUUGAAGCCCCUUUUAUAAUUGCAGACUCAGUUUAUGGUUCUACUUUUUUUAUGGCAACAGGCUUUCAUGGAAUUCAUGUAUUAAUUGGAACUACCUUUUUAUUAGUAUGUUUAAUUCGACAUUUAAAUAAUCACUUUUCAAAAAUUCAUCAUUUUGGAUUUGAAGCUG